CACCUUGUGCAUCCCUGAGAGCGCUGUCCAAACACUCCUGGAGCUCUGGAAGCCUUGGGGCCAUGACCAUUCCUGGGAGCCUGUUCAGUGCCCAGCACCCUCUGGGGGAAGGACCUUUCCCUGAUGUCCAGUCUGACCCUCCCCUGACACAGUUCCAGCCUAUCCCUGGUCCCAGAGAAGCAGAGAUUGGAGUUGCCCUUCAGGAGGAAGCUGCAGACUGCAGUGAGGUCCCCCCAGUCCUAUUUUCUCCAUCUGAACUGACCAAGUCACUGACCAAGUGAUUCAGCCACUCCUCAUAUGGCCCCUCCAGAUCCUUCACCAUUCUCAUGUCCCUACUUUAAGAUCUUUAGGGCUUUCUUAUUGUGGUGGCCAAAACUGCCCAGCCCUAAGAACAGCACACUAAUCUUGAAUGACAGGAAUAUUAACAAAACAUUUUAAAGCUAUAUUGGCAUUUCUCUGAUCCAUGUGACUCAUGGAUGGUUAUCCAUGAAGGAAUCCAGGUAUUAGCUUCCAUUACAAAAACUGGGAGAUGAGAGCCUGGGAAGAUGUCUGUUAGGAUCUGGGAUUCAGUGAUGUGCAUGCUCAGAUUUUGCCAAAAAAUCAGCACCAGCACUGCUUAACAAAGCAAGACAAAGGUAUCAAAAAACCUAGGCCAAAAUAUCCACUUGGUUUUCAAAGAAAUCUGUGUUCCUAAGUCACAUAGACACUUUCAAUUGUUCUACAAUAAAAAGUAAUGAGCACCAGUCACACUAAGAAUUUGAUGGUAUAAAGACUUGUUUGGUUGUGGGACACUGUUCAUGCCUAGUCUCCAACACAAAUCAAAACCCAACAAGGAACCAGGUUAAAAGACAGUUGUAGAUGAGUUCCCUGAUGUGUCUUAUGUUCACCUUCCAGAGGUUUGUGUUCUGGGGUUUCCCUGUCCAGCUUGCUUAUACAAAUGUAAACAAAAAUAUUUCCAUCCUCAAGGAGCCCAAGUGAGAUUUUAUAAAGCAAAGUGUGCUAAGGAGGUUUCUCAAUCAGUGGAAAGGGAGCAGCUGUUUACACAUAAAUAUCUAGUGUUAAUUAACAUUUGGAAGAGAGUGAGAAACACUUGAUGCACUUUGAAAUAACACAAAUAAAAACUACCACUCUUAGAUGGUUCUUAAAGUAAACAUCUAAACUGAAAAUUAAAUUGUUCCUGAUACGGUAAAUAGGCAUUUCGCUAUUGUGAAAAAAGAUAGUUUUACCCUUCCUUUACACAGUAAGACAAGUCCUUUGAAUAUCUCACUUUUGGUGACAAAAACGACUCACUUGUGAUGAAAUUAUUAAAACACACUUCACAGUGCUCCGGGAUCUGGGAGGUUUCAGUCCAGUCUCAGACUUUACAGUCCUUCCUGAGCAGAUUACUCCCAUGUGGAAGCAUACAUUCUUCUCUCUAGCUUCAGGCUGGAUUUGGUACUGUGUUUCUCACAUCUGGUAAAAAACUACCCUGCAAACUUGACAAAUGAUAAUGUAGCAGUGACUAUCUGAAAAUCAGAUGGGGAAUCCCACAGGUCCUAGUUUUAUUUAGGCUUGGCUUGCUGGCUCAUUCCAGUGACCUCUGCUGAGGUUUGGCAUAGGAUACUCAUGGUUGCAACAUACUUCUUUUCUCCUUUUUAUUCAACCAUUUUCUCCAAAGUUUCAACAUGGCCACAACUUUGGUUGUAUUUUCUUUUUCUCUCCUCUUUUUUGCUUUUUACCGUGGGUAGAAUAAAAUGAUUGAUGGCCCAGAAUUCAAUGAUUUAUCUUUUAUUCCUGCAUCUUAGGAAAACUUAAGAGUCUGAGUUUGGAAAUUCAAAUGGACAAAUAUGUUUUCAUUUCAUUCCCCUUUGCAAUUCAUCUUUUCCAAAACUUACUAUGUUUUAACUGCAGCACAAAGAAACCUUAUAAAAAUUUACAUCCAUCAUGUUAUACUAGCUGGCAGAAAAAAGAAAAAAUUAUUCACAAUUUUUUUUCAAAACUUGAGCAGAAUUAUUAUUAGGAAAGUCUUCCUCAGAAAACUUCCACACUUGUAAGUUUUUUCCCACUAGAGCAAAGAAUAAAAGAUGUUACUGUCUAGAAUAUGAUAGCAUAUCCCUAGCUCCAGCUCCUCCCAAAUUUCCAGUGGAGGAGCUACAUCUCCAUUGGUUUGGGUGAGUGUGUGGGUAAACACCCCAAACCAGCCAUCACUCACAUACAGCUGUGAAAGGCCCACGAUAUUGGUGGAGCCUUCCCUGACCCAGAGCCACAUCAGCAGCUGGGACACAGGAGUGGCUUGGCCACAGGUGAGCCCAGCCAGGUGUGGUGUUUGGUUUCCCCAGGUGAUGCCAGGUGGAGGCAAACCUGGACACGCAUGACAUGAGCAAGGGCCAGGCCUUGCUCCCACCUGCAGUGCGUGGCACACCCCACAGAGCAUUCCCACCAAAGAUGGUAGGUGUGCUUCUCCCCAAAGUAUAUUUAAAGUAGUUUGAUCACUGUUCAGGUCUGGAGACAUCAGAACCCUUUAUUUUUGAGGCAGGUGUGCUCACCUCAGCUGGAGGGCAGAUGGGCUCCAGUGGCAGGGGCCAGGCUGUGGCUGCCUUCCCAGCCUUUCCUCCACUUCUCCCGUCUAAGGCCUCUCCAAACUGAUUUACAGCUCCCUCCGAGUGCCUGGGAUGGAAUUAGAGCGCCUUUUAUUACACGGUGCCUUCGCUGUUAUUCUUGCUGCACGGCACAGAUUUAUGAUGGCUUUUAAACCAGGCAGCACAUAAAGAAAUAUGAUCUUAACAAAAUAUAGAAGGGACCAAAGGAGGUCAAAGUGUGGGAGCUGAACACUACAUGGUGAUCCAGGAUUUCCUUUUAUUUACUGCUCACACCUUUUCAGUCUCAAGUGGAUUUGGGCUGUCUCAGGCAGCCCUACCCCAUGUAAUCCUCUGGGGCCAGAGACUUUGCCAUCAGCGGAUGUCUUUCAUUACAAUUUAGCACAUGUAGGAAAUCCCAAAAUGCCACUGGUGAAUUACAUGAAUUUUAGACACAGGGUGCCAGGAAGGCACACAGCAUCAGGGUAGGCAGGAACCCCACAUUCAUCUGGGCAGGCUUUCUGUCUCUUGACACCUCCUGCUGUGGCAGCAGCUGAGGGUUUUCCAGGUUAGUGGUGUCCUGCAGAGCUCCUCUGUUUUCAGUGCUGGAGGAGAAUCAUUUAUGAGAGUCCUUCAUGGAGGCAUGGAGCAAAAGCUGUGCUCAUUUCCAUGGCUAGGACUAUGGGACAAGGAAAGUAAUACUGUAAGCCAUUCUACUUUAUAGCUUUAUUUACAGAUACUCAUCAAUUAUUCCUAAACUGUGGCAUAUAAGAAAAAUAGGAGGCCUUGCACUUAGCCUGCAGAUGGAUAAUGUGAGAUCUGCAGCAGGUGCAAGGUGUCUUGAGCACAAGGGCAGAGCUGCAGGGAGUCACCUGCAGGACCAUGGUCUGCCUUAAACACUGCCUCAAACUGCAAAGUGAAGCAGCUGGCAAGGGGGAGGGAAGCUGUAAUUACAGCCAACAACUGACUCCUCAGCCAAUGACUACUACUGAGAGCCUGCUCUUGAGCCAGAAGCAAAGAACAGAAGUCUUUUCUCUCUUGGGUGAGGGCUGUAAUCCCCUACAGCUAUAGUAUCAUUCUCUACAUUAAUAAAACAAGGUCUGGUGUGCUCCCUUUCAUUAAGAUUUAUUAUCAUUAUUUCUCCAUCUGAGGGAAGGAAUUUAUCUCUCUUCUUGCCUAGGGCUGUAGCAAGGUUCCCAUGGUGUGGGGGUUUUGUUUGGUUUAUUCAGAGGGGAUGCUUGUGGUUCACCUGCUGUUCUAAGUUUCCAGAGCAACAUCCUCUCCAGUUCUCCAGCUGCUUGCUGCUCACAUUGUAAGCCCUUUCUAGAGCAAGUCGGUCCUCAUCUGUUCUUUGGGAACUUCACAGACCACAAGCCCACAUCUGAAGCACUUGUUUUUUUAGAAGCCUGGACUCUUGUGAGAUGUAAGGCAAGACAUCAGCACUGACAGUCACCACAAAACUGCCUCCUCUCAACCAAUUUCACAGGUGCAGUUCCUCAGAGCCUGGGCUUUGCCUGAGAAGUUCUCAGCUAUGUGUGUUCUCCUGAUUCCAGGUCUCCUCCAAAGUGGCAUCCCACAAAGGAGGUGACUUGGACUGAGAAGUGAAGUGGGGAAUAAUCUCAGUCUGUCUGUCUGUGUCUCUGUGUGUGUGUCCAUCCCACUUUGGCCAGGGACAAGCUUCCAGCUGAAAGCAGCCUGAGUUGACAGCAGACUUUGCUAUGGGUAAUCACAUGGUUUGCUAAUUAGUAAUUUUUGCAUUUUUUUUUCCUACCAAGUGUGUCACCAAGGUUUCCUCUUCCUUGGUGACACACCUGGCUCAUGCAAGAGCCAUGAAGAGGUUCCUCAGAUGCUACUUCUCCUGUCAGGAACCUCCUACUUGUGCACUCAAUCUGUGUAGCCAAUUAUAACCAUUCCAGUGGGCCACAAAACCCGUAUUUUAUGAUAGAGUGAAAAUAUGAAGUCACAGCCUAAACUAUGUUGCACUUCUUGCUGGGCCGUGUAAUGUGUAUUUAAAUGAAGAAAGGUGAAAACACUGCACCAGCAUAGAAAUUUGUCUGUAGAACGUGGAUCAUCUUGUGUGCUUCUCUACCAAGGCUUCAGCAAGCUUAAGGGCACUGUGGUGGUUUCACACGGAUUGAUAUUUGGGGAAAGAAGUAAGAAACACCCAUGGAAGUGAUUUCUUUGAGGGAAGCUGCUGGGAGCUUCCUCUGUGCCUAGGACAGGCCAAUGCCUGGCUGGUUCUGAGAACUGACAACAUUUUGCACCAUUUAAAAAUUAGGUCCACUUCUGUGAAUUCCACGUUUUAAAAACCACAAACCCGGGAACUUUUUUCUCUUGGUUUCCGGCCUCAGAAGGGAACGGAGCCCUGGUGGGGCCAGCCCUGCUCCCCCUGUGCGGGGGAGGCUGGGCCGGACUCCAGCGGCUCCCGGGUGGGGACGGAGGCUGUGGGGCCCUGGCCCCAGGCUGGGCCGGGCCACGGCUGCUGACAUCUCACCGACACCAAACCCCUGCUCCAGGCCACGGCUGCUGACAUCUCACCGACACCAAACCCCUGCCCCCGGCCCGCACAGACUGCUCCAGGCCGAGCCAGAACUACCCUCCCCUCCAGCGGCUGCCGGGCCGAGGGAGGCACCAGCGCGGGCUGAAAUCCAACACCGUGACUGCUGCGGCCACUGGGCGAGAUACUAACCCUUUCAAUACACAGAUGAGACCUGCAGGCCUUGUUCCUCUCUCCAGGGAGAGAAAAGGAGUGACGACACGUAGGAAGACAACAUGAAGACACCAAGGUCAGUUAAGAAGGAGUCAAGCCUCAGAUGGAAGAAGGAUGAGGAGAUGCUGAAUGGGGCUGGAAGCUCUUUUGGUAGGGCUGUGGAGAUGGACAGUUAUAUACCGAAAUAUCCCCUUUAAUUCAUGAAAGAGUAUGGGGAGAUGGAAUAUUCAAACUGUAGAUGUGAGCAGAGGCAUCC